AAAAAUCCAUGCACACUCAGGGAUAACAUGCAAACUCCACACAGACAUGCCCAAAUGGAGAUUCUAACCCUCCUUUUUCUGACUGUGAGUCCAACAUGCCAACCACAAUUCCAAGCAAAGAUUCACUCUGACAACCCCAGGGAUACACAAUCAUCAGUCAGUGGAUCCACCCAUCCGUCCCUCCAUCAUGCCCAGAGGCCUCUCGGCCACUCCUAAUCCCAGAGCACUGCUCCCUCCCAGGGAAUAUGAUGCGAAUGGUUGACAGGAAAAACACCAAGUAAACAAGGAGAGACUGCUGGGCGAUACUGGAAAUCAAUGAGAAAUGUCUCUUUUUGUAAUACUGG